GACGAACGCUGGCGGCGUGCCUAACACAUGCCAGUCGAACGGAAAGGCCCUGAUCUUGUGGGGCGCACGAGUGCCGCACGGGUGAGUAACACGCGAGUAACCCGCCCCUGAAUUUGGGAUAAAUCUUGGAAACUCGGGCUAAUACCGGAUAGGAGCUACUGAUGCAUGGUGGGGGUUGGAAAGUUUCGGUGGUUGGGGAUGGACUAGCGGGUUAUCGGCUUGUUGGUGGGGUAGUGGCUUACCAAGGCUUGGACGGGUAGCCGGCCUGAGAGGGUGACCGGCCACCUAGGGACUGAGAGGCGGCAGAAGCUGCGACUGGAGGGAACAGUGCGGAAUAUUGCACGAGGAGCGGAGGCCUGGUGCAGCAAGUCCGCGGGCGGGAUAACGGCCUUCUGAGUGUAGACCACAUUCGCCUGUGACGAAGCGUGUGUUGCGGUAAUGUGUUAAGAAACACCGGCUAACUACGGG
rnacentral:rRNA from 1 species